UGGCGGCGUGGAUAAGACAUGCAAGUCGAACGAGAGAAUUGCUAGCUUGCUAAUAAUUCUCUAGUGGCGCACGGGUGAGUAACACGUGAGUAACCUGCCCCCGAGAGCGGGAUAGCCCUGGGAAACUGGGAUUAAUACCGCAUAGUAUCGAAAGAUUAAAGCAGCAAUGCGCUUGGGGAUGGGCUCGCGGCCUAUUAGUUAGUUGGUGAGGUAACGGCUCACCAAGGCGAUGACGGGUAGCCGGUCUGAGAGGAUGUCCGGCCACACUGGAACUGAGACACGGUCCAGACACCUACGGGUGGCAGCAGUCGAGAAUCAUUCACAAUGGGGGAAACCCUGAUGGUGCGACGCCGCGUGGGGGAAUGAAGGUCUUCGGAUUGUAAACCCCUGUCAUGUGGGAGCAAAUUAAAAAGAUAGUACCACAAGAGGAAGAGACGGCUAACUCUGUGCCAGCAGCCGCGGUAAUACAGAGGUCUCAAGCGUUGUUCGGAAUCACUGGGCGUAAAGCGUGCGUAGGCUGUUUCGUAAGUCGUGUGUGAAAGGCGCGGGCUCAACCCGCGGACGGCACAUGAUACUGCGAGACUAGAGUAAUGGAGGGGGAACCGGAAUUCACGGUGUAGCAA
rnacentral:rRNA from 1 species